GGGGAGCGGGAGGAGGCUGUGGUGCUCCAGGAGCUGGGGCAGAGCUUCCCCUGCCGCCCGAGGAGGAGAGCAUGGCAGAGCAGGCUGAUGUGUCCCGAGGGAAGCAGCAGCUCUCCGUUUGCCGUGAGGUUCAUCCAGCGAGGAGGCAGGGGACGGACCAGAAGCUGGGAGCGGCCACAGCCAGGAGACAGAGCCACACAGCUGCCGGCCCAAACGGGCCGGGAUGUCACGCUCAGCCAUGAAAGCUGGUGUCAAGCAGGACGAAUGGGUCAAGGAGGGAUGGAUGCUGGUGCCUUCCCAAGAGGUUGUUCCGUGCCAUGAGCCGUCUGUUCCUGGAUGUGGCUGAAUAUUGGCGUGCCAAUGGGAAGCAGCGAUUGCGUUCCCCGUUUUCCUUGUCGCGCGGGCCUGGCUUUUGCUUUCCCCGAUAAAGUGUCUUGCUCUCAGCCCCUUGA